rnacentral:tRNA from 1 species
CGGGAAGUAGCUCAGCUUGGUAGAGCACUUGGUUUGGGACCAAGGGGCCGCAGGUUCGAAUCCUGUCUUCCCGAC